GAAGUUUGCAUGGUUCUCUUGGCGUAUCUGAAUCAUACCGGACAAGAGCUCGCCCACAUUCAACAAGGACACAAACAAGAGCAAGAUGCAUGCGCAGAGUGGCAAGGAGAAAAAUGGCCUGAGGUCAACAGUGUAGCAGCAACAAUGCAGAAGCCACAGAACAGGUGAAAGCGGUUGACACUCAACUUCGGUGAGGAACAGAUAUGGCCAGGAGGCCCAACGCUGACUUCCUGUAGCUGACUGGCUCCAAUGCGAGGGUGAAGUAAUUUCUUUCCUCUGUGAUUUAUUUGCUGACCAUCAGUAAGCAAAACUACUAUGAAGAAAGGAAGAAAGCACGAUUCACAGUGAAUCCUUCUCAAGAACACGACUCCAGAGUGACAGAGCAGGUAAAACGGGGUCCUAUGUACCAAGAAGCUUGAAAAUCAAGCUCCAUGUUCAUACCUAUUUCCGUGUAAUAACAACAGAGUUUUUAGUAAAACUCUGUGCCAGGUACAUAAUGCGAAGGGCUUUACGUGCAUUAUCUCACUGCACCAGAAGGAUCAUCCACAUUUUACAGAUGAAGACACUGCGCUUUACAGGGGUUAAAAAACCUGCCGAAGAAAUACAACGGCAGACUCAAGGCACCUGCACUGCUCGGCCUCCAAAGACCAGUCCUGGACGCCCAUUCUCCAGGGUUCACUAUGCCUGCACAAAAGCCUCCUGCCUGGAAAUGCACACAGGAUAAUGAGACACUAUCAAUGAGAGCUGAACAUGGCCUUUUUGUUACAAUCCUAUCUUAAAUUUCUUUUAAAUGCAUUCAUCUCUUCAUAUUAGUAUGUAAAAUAGCCCCAACUGAGCCCUUCUUUUUUUUUUUUUUUUAAGAUUUUAUUUAUUUAUUUGACAGA